UGGACAAAUUAUUGUAUUCAACUUUAUUCACGACGUAAAAUAGGGGAUUACAUUAUUUUUAAAUGAAAAGUGAAUCAAUUAACAUAAUAUACUUCU
rnacentral:pre_miRNA from 1 species